rnacentral:precursor_RNA from 1 species
GUUUUGGAGCGAGAAGAUCUCAUGCAGUCAUUCUCCAAAAGGGAGCACUUUCUGUUUGAAAGAAAACAAAGUGCCUCCUUUUAGAGUGUUACUGUUUGAGAAAAACCACGUUGAAGUUG